CCCUGGGGAGUACGGCCGCAAGGGUUAAAACUUCAAAUGAAUUGACGGGGGCCCGCACAAGCGGUGGAGCAUGUGGUUUAAUUCGAUGCAACGCGAAGAACCUUACCUACUCUUGACAUCCAGAGAACUUAGCAGAGAUGCUUUGGUGCCUUCGGGAACUCUGAGACAGGUGCUGCAUGGCUGUCGUCAGCUCGUGUUGUGAAAUGUUGGGUUAAGUCCCGCAACGAGCGCAACCCUUAUCCUUUGUUGCCAGCGGUCCGCCCGGGAACUCAAAGGAGACUGCCAGUGAUAAACUGGAGGAAGGUGGGGAUGACGUCAAGUCAUCAUGGCCCUUACGAGUAGGGCUACACACGUGCUACAAUGGCGUAUACAAAGAGAAGCGCCCUCGCGAGAGCAAGCGGACCUCAUAAAGUACGUCGUAGUCCGGAUUGGAGUCUGCAACUCGACUCCAUGAAGUCGGAAUCGCUAGUAAUCGUAGAUCAGAAUGCUACGGUGAAUACGUUCCCGGGCCUUGUACACACCGCCCGUUCCUUCCUUAGUGGGUUGCAAAAGAAGUAGGUAGCUUAACCUUCGGGAGGGCGCUUACCCACUUUGGUGGGG
rnacentral:rRNA from 1 species